rnacentral:rRNA from 1 species
GACAGAGGAUGCAAGCGUUAUCCAGAAUGAUUGGGCGUAAAGCGUCUGUAGGUGGCUUUUUAAGUUCGCCGUCAAAUCCCAGGGCUCAACCCUGGACAGGCGGUGGAAACUACCAAGCUGGAGUACGGUAGGGGCAGAGGGAAUUUCCGGUGGAGCGGUGAAAUGCGUAGAUAUCAAGAGGAACACCUGAGGUGAAGACGGGUUGCUGGGCUGACACUGACGCUGAGGCGCGAAAGCCAGGGGAGCAAACGGG